rnacentral:rRNA from 1 species
GAUGAACGCUAGCGGCAGGCCUAAUACAUGCAAGUCGAACGGUAACAUGAGUAGCAAUACUUGAUGACGAGUGGCGCACGGGUGCGUAACGCGUAUGCAAUCUACCUUUAACUGGUGAAUAGCCCGAAGAAAUUCGGAUUAAUACACCAUAGUAUAUUGAGGAGGCAUCUCCUUAAUAUUAAAACUCCGGGGGUUAAAGAUGAGCAUGCGUGACAUUAGCUAGUUGGUGAGGUAACGGCUCACCAAGGCAACGAUGUCUAGGGGAUCUGAGAGGAUUAACCCCCACACGGGUACGGAGACAGGGACCAGACUCCUACGGGAGGCAGCAGUAAGGAAUAUUGGACAAUGGUCGCAAGACUGAUCCAGCCAUGCCGCGUGAAGGAUGACGGCCCUAUGGGUUGUAAACUUCUUUUGUACGGGAAAAAACCCUUCUACGUGUAGAGGGCUGAUUGUACCGUAAGAAUAAGGAUCGGCUAACUCCGUGCCAGCAGCCGCCGUAA